UACGUAGGGUGCAAGCGUUAAUCGGAAUUACUGGGCGUAAAGCGUACGCAGGCGGUGAUGUAAGACAGAUGUGAAAUCCCCGGGCUCAACCUGGGAACUGCAUUUGUGACUGCAUCGCUGGAGUACGGCAGAGGGGGAUGGAAUUCCGCGUGUAGCAGUGAAAUGCGUAGAUAUGCGGAGGAACACCGAUGGCGAAGGCAAUCCCCUGGGCCUGUACUGACGCUCAUGCACGAAAGCGUGGGGAGCAAACAGG
rnacentral:rRNA from 1 species